rnacentral:pre_miRNA from 1 species
UAUUAAAAAUUUCAUUAAUUUGUAUUAUUAAAAAUUGGUGUGGCUGACGGAAUAACUAGACAAUGAUACGUGGCAUACCAUUUAUACUUCAUGCUGACGUAUAUUGAUUAGUUUUUAUCAAUAGAAAUGGACUAAUUUGCUUUUUAAUC